UAUGCUAACACUUAAUCAGUUCCACAAAGCUUUGUUGUCUAUUUGAGCUUCACAGAAUUUAAGAAUCGAGAAGACUAGCAGACGGAGGACAUUCUAAUCGCUGUCAGAAUGCUGCUGACUUUCAAAUACACUUCUGCCACCUGCUAGCUACAUCAAGGGAAAUUACGUCAAAAUCCAGCUUGGGAGAGAGCACCCCCAUUUAUCCCAAUAAGUAUUUCUAUCUAUCUUUAUACUUUUACUAUAUUAAAAUAUAAAUAUACAUAAUUAUGGAAAACCAAAUAAAGAUUUUAUGCUUAUAUAUAUAUAUAUAUAUAUAUCUUUUGCUUAGUUUAAUAAAUAAAUAAAGUGGCUAUGCUAAUCUGAAUCUUAAUAAUAAAACUCUAGCAUGGAUAUGAUGAAUAGUUGCUCUGCCUAAUUUUAAAAUUUUGAAGUCCUCUCUCAAGUUUAGACAUAACUGUUAUAAUUUAAAGCUUGCUCUAAACCUAAACUUGUGGGAAGAAAACUUGAUCUGAAGUCUAAGUUGUUAACGGAUAUGAUAUGGGAAGGUUGAGCUGCUGUUUAUCUGUUCCUAGAGAUGCUAGAAUUCUGGAGAAUUUUAUCUUUGAAAAAUAUUUAUAAUGUUGCAUGAUGAGUUCUGUAUGAUGAGAGUUUAAAUUCCUACCACAGCCAUAUAUACAUGCUUGCUAGACUUUGAGCCACACAUUUACUAUUUACUGCUUAUGAACAUUGAGUGUGGUCAAGCUGUGUAGACCCUUAGGAGCUUAUCAUGUAGUUAAAUCAAGAUUCACUUGCACGUUCACUCACAUAUGCUGCUUCUACUCUAGAAGUACCAUCCACAUAUAUCCAUCCAUUUCCAUCUCGAGAACCACCCAAAAAUAUUCUACUCCUAAUCCGGGAGAGAAUAGCCAAAAAUAUUUCUGUUUUUCCAUGUGAAAUAAAUGCUCAAGUUGUCUUGUUACUACCACUUGCUAUAUUAUCUCAAGAGAUGAGUGCUCUAAAAAAAGAGAAGAAAAAAGAGAUAUGAGGAAAUAAAAAGGGGCAAGUGCCCGGAACCUCGAAAGAAAAGAAAAAGUGAGACGAGAGGUAAAAAUGGACAAGUGUCCGUCAGUAGAAUUAGGGGUACAAGAUGCCCACCUGAGAGGAAAGAAAAAAAAGAAGAGCAUCUCAUUCUCCUCACAAAGUUUCAAAAAAGCAAGGAAGGUAUGUAUGCCCUCAAAGAGCAAAAGUAGAAUUAGACUUUCACCAUUGUUAUCACCAUCAUCACCAUACACCAUUCGUUCGCCACACAUGCACAUCUUGAUUUGACUUAUUGAUUUGUUUCUUUUGAUCCAUGGUUUGACUAUACAAUAAAUAAUGUAAGUAUGUAUACUUUAUCUCCCAUCUAUGAGCUCCAGAUAUUAAAGCCUUAUUAGAGUAGGGUGAGAGAGAAGGCAAUGUUACUAUGCUUUAUACCACAAAUACCACAUACUAUAUAGUUUUGAGAGAAGGCAUAUACCAUCACUGCCUUGGUAAGGAUCCAGAAAUACCACAAAAGAGAGAUUUGAGAGAAUCAUACAAGGAAUCUCUGAGUUUUAUUUGAAAAUCUGCAAAAACUCCAGAGCUAUAGCUGAUCAAGAAUAAGAGACAUGGCACUUGACUAGACUGUUCUAUCUUUUAACUACUCAAGACAGAAGUGACGGUUACAAGUCCCAUGGUGAAAGGUAAAAUGAAUAAGUUUUAAGUCUUGACAGUUUACUCUAACUCAGAGAUGAGACCUCAUUUGAAAGCAUGUGUACCAUCAAUUUUUAAAGAUAUUGCAACAACUUAUGAUCCAUCGCUGAGUCUAUCCUUGCUCAGGGACGAGCAAGAGGUAAGCAUGGGGGAGUUUGUUCAUGGUCCUUAAGUAUCAAAUUUAAUUAUCAAAUAAACAAAGAAAAGGAUCCAAAUGAAAUCAACAUCCAGACUUAGGGUUUUAUCUGACAGAAUUCCACAAGUUUUGGUGUUUGUCUAUUUCUACAGGGGGUUAUCUGGAAAUACGGAAGAAAGGCCCACACGUCGGGAUUACAUAGAGAUAUCAACGUGCCGCGCAAUUAUCUUACAUCUAGAAGACUCUAGAAGCCACGGGAAGGAAGCGGAGGCUGAACGGGGCCUGGCCCUGGGCGCCCACCCAGGAGACCAGGGCGCCCGCCCACCUCUGGAGUCCAAUCAGGACUCUCUCUCGGGAAAGCUCUCCACCGACCUAAAGGAUCAAGGAUAACCGUUCAAUCAAUGUCGGUUUGAUCCAACGGCCCAUAUUCACUUGAAGGGACUAUAAAACCAGACCCCCUGGCCCCUAGAGGAGGGAGCCUCUCAACCCUAAUUCAUUAUUCCUCAAGGGAGAAGAAGCCUCUGAUCAAGAUUAGAGCCACCACAUCAAUUAGACAUCUAGAUUAGCAUAGCUACAUAGGAUUAGAACUAGAAGGAGUCAAUCUUCGAUUGGUUUCCGGAUCUUCGAUUGGCUUCUAAUUGUUCUUCUAAUCAUCUUUGUUCUUCAAUAUUAUGAAUAUGACUUUGUUCUACUUCAAUAUAUUGCUUAUGACUUUGCUCUACUUGUUUAUAUUCAAGAUUAUAUUGUUCUUAGUUUAUCAUAGUUAUGUACUUGGCUUAGUUAGAUUGGAUCUAUAUACAUGCUUAGGAUCGUAUAGCGUUUAUCCAUCGGAUCCAUGGGUAAAUGAUAGAUAUUGUGUAGGCGUGGUGCUUAUGCUAUAUUUAUCUGCGAUUGUACCCAAUAUGCCAGAUCGUGAGGUAGUUCGUGAUAGUGACAGCUUCAUUGAUUCUUAUAUAGUCCCCCUCUCGUGUAUUGGGCUGGCAGAGCAAUAUUAUUACAGAGGAGUGAUUGCUAUGUUUUCAUUUACCUUGCUAAUAUCACUAUGCAUGGGCGUAGUCUUGUCUCGCAAUGAUUGCUAAGUAUGCUUGCACUAACUAUGAUAAUGCUAGACUAUAUAGUUGAGAAUAACUUAGGAAAUAUUCUUGUAGUUCGUUCUAAUACCAUGCUAAUGACUUUCUAGAGUAUCUAAUUGAGAUGGUUAUCAUAUUUAUUAUGUGGCUAAGUUAUGCUGAUCAGAUUAAUUAUCUUUGUCACUAUUUAUUACUUCAUAUAUCUUUUACGUGACACUUACCUCUGUAUGAAAGAAUUAUAUAAAUGUUCUUAAUUAUACAUGCAAUGAAAAAUACUCAAUCUCAUAUUCCAUUCUGUAAUCAACUUUGAUGAUUGUUAAUCCCUUCCCAGUGGUAAAAAUAUAAAUAACGAUACCUGGAAUACUUCCUAGUUAAAAUGCUACAUCGGUAUUAAUCUGUGCGCUUGCAGAUCCCAUUCAUUAUUUAUUUAGAAGAGCAAUUGCAUAUUUCAAUACCGCGUCUCUCAUGUCAUGCUGGGGAUGACAACUUGGCUUAAGUGGUAUGAGGGAUAGGUUUGGCAUUUUUGGCACCAUUACUAGAAUUAGAAAACUGUCUACUUUUGGUAAUGAUGUUAAGAAUACCCAACACGUUUGACUCCCAGUUCGACAGCCAAUUGCAUGCCAUGCAAGCAAGCUUCGUAUUCGGCGACGUUGUUGGAUGCUGGAAAGAGGAUCCGAAGGACGUAACGUAGUUUGUCCUUGUUUGGUGAGACGAAAAGUAUUCUGGCACCAGCUCCAUUGAUGUUGAAGGAUCCAUCGAAGAACAUUGACCAGUGGUCGGAGACAUCUGGGGAGGGGGGCUCGUUGAGAUCCGUCCAUUCUGCGAUAAAGUCGACCAGGGCCUGAGACUUGAUGGUGGUGCAACUCUGGAAAUCUAAAGAAAAUGGGCAUAACUCCAUUGCCCACUUUACAAUUCUUCCGUUGGCCUCUUUGUUGCGCAAAAUGUCCCCUAAUAGAAAACUGGUAGUAACUAACACCCGAUGGCCGUCGAAGUAGUGCUUCAGCUUUCUUGAGGUGAUUAGGAUGGCGUAGAUUAGUUUUUGUAUCUGAGGAUACUUGGUUUUGGAUUGGUUUAGUACUUCGCUUAUGAAGUAUACGGGCCUCUGGACUUUGUAGACGUGCCCUGGUUCCUCCCGCUCAACCACAAGCGCCGUGGAGACGACCUGAUCAGUUGCUACUAUGUAAAGUAGCAGGUCCUAAUUAGGUUGGGGUGCGGUGAGGACGGGUGGUGAGGUAAGGAAAGUUUUGAGCUGGGUGAACGCAGCGUUAGCCUCUUCUAUCCAGGAGAAUUUUUCCGAUGCUUUUAGCAGUUUGAAAAAGGGGUGGCCUUUUCCCCCCAGCCUAGAGAUGAACCGGCUGAGAGCAGCCAUGCAUCCGGUGAGCUUUUGAAUGUCUUUGACGUUCCUGGGUGGUCCCAUAUCGAGCACUGCCUUAACUUUUGAAGGGUUCGGCCGUAUGCCGUCAUGGCUGACGACGUUGCCGAGCAGUAGACCAGAGGGGACCCCAAAGAUACACUUUUUGGGAUUGAGCUUCCACUUGUAUAUAUUUAGCGCUUUAAAAGUGCGAUCCAAGUUGUCGAUCAGGGUGCUCGCAUCCCUAGUUUUGAUGACAACGUCAUCAACGUAGGCCUCGACGAGGUCGUCACGUAUCUCGUCGCAGAGGCAUUGCUGAAUAGCGCGUUGAUAGGUGGCCCCAGCGUUUUUCAGUCCAAAGGACAUGGUGGUGUAACAAUAUGCGACAAAAGGAGUGAUGAAGGAAGUUUUGAUUUGGUCGUCUUCCUUUAGUGAGAUCUGGUGAUAACCAGAGUAACAGUCAAGAAAAGAGAGGAGUUCGCAUCCGGCCGUUGAAUCGACCACCUCGUCGAUACGUGGGAGACCGAAAGGAUCUUUAGGACAGUGUUUAUUGAGAUCAGUGUAAUCAACACACAUUCUCCAUUCAUUAUUCUUUUUUCUUACAAGGACCGGAUUGGCAAGCCAAUCGGGGUGAUACACUUCCUUAAUAAAUCUGGCUGCUAAAAGUCGUUUAAUUUCUGUCCUAAUAGCCUUCUUUUUGUCAUGAGCGAACCGUCGCAGCUUCUGCUUGAUAUGUCUUGCAGUCUUCGAGACGAUUAAGGAGUGCUCGAUCAGGUUUCUUGAGACACCGGGCAUGUCUGUGGGUUUCCAUGCGAAAAAGCUUACGUUGUCCCUUAGAAACCUAACGAGCGCGUCUUCCUAUUUGGCGUCCAGGUUGGCCCCAAUGAGAGCCGUCUUCUCUAGGCUGCCGUCGACCAACUGUACUUCCUUGUGCUCUUUGGACUUAGAGCUUUUCCUAGGAAUCUUCUGCUCGGGUAUUCGGAUCUGGUCGGAGGGAAUUUGUGUGGCUUGAGCUACAGUUUUUGCCAUAUGAAUCGAGAGAUCGAUUGCCUCAGUGAUCUUGAAGCUUUCCUCCUCGCAAAUGUAUACGGUGUAGACGUUGCCUCUAACGGUUAAGACGCCCUUCUCUGUUGGCAUUUUGAGGACCAGGUAUGAGUAGUGUGGAACUUACAUGAAUUUGGUCAGCGAGGGGCGGCCUAGAAUUGCGUGAUAGGUUCCGUCGAAGUCAGCGACCACAAAGUUGACGAACUCUGUGCGGAAGUGGUCUGGCGUUCCAAACUAGACGGGCAGCGUUAUCUGUCCAAGGGAUACUGAACUUUGACCCAGUAGGACGCCCCAAAACUGAGCGUCAUACGGCUUCAGUUGUGGACAAGGAUGUCAAUAGAGCUACCCCCGUCAACGAGCACGCGCUCGAACCUAACGCUGUUGAUGCACGGGUCCAGGAUCAGAGGGAAACACCCUAGUUCUGGGAUGGCGGCCCACUGGUUUGGCAUUUUUGGCACCAUUACUAGAAUUAGAAAAUUGUCUACUUUUGGUAAUGAUGUUAAGAAUACCCAACAAGCAUUUUUGGCGCCAUUACCGGGGAAGGUUGAUUAAUAAUCAGGAAUGAAUAAAGGAUUUUGGGUUAUCAUUCGCAUCACUAAUAUGAUUGAGCUUAUCAAUUCUCUCAUACAGUUUUACCUCGAUAUUUCUCUAUUUUUAUCUUAUGCAGGGGAAUGUAUGAAUAGAAGACAUCUUCCAGGAAAUUUUGUUGACAAUCCCGAAGCUUUAUUCAGAAAAACUAGAGCCAAGCUCAAGAAGAGAUCAUCAACACUUCACCAAGAAGCUUGAUCCAAUCAAGAAGAUCACUGGAACUUGUCUUCAGAGUUUGAAGCCAUGGCGAACAAAUCGAUCCGCUAGUUCUCAGCUCCCACUAUGGACAACAUCCGCACCGGACCUGCUGCAGAGAUCGAUGGCAACUUUGAGCUCAAGCCUGGACUUAUCAACAUGGUGCAAUCCAACCAGUUCUGUGGGAAGGCACACGAAAAUGUUAGUGCUCAUCUCCAACACUUCCUAGAGAUUUGCAGCACAUUUACCAUAUCAGGAGUCCCCAAAGAUGCUAUACUACUUUGCAUUUUCCCAUUCUCACUGUUAGGAAGAGCGAAGCAGUGGUUCUACGCUACAAAGGAGAAGAAUACUACGUGGGCACUCUGCUCAACAAACUUCCUGGCUAAGUUCUUUCCCAUGGGCAAGACCAAUGCUCUCCGUGGGAAGAUUACAAGUUUUCAGCAACAAAAUGAUGAAUCUGUUCUAGAAGCAUGGGAGCGCUUCCAAGACUACAUCCUAUAAUGUCCCCAUCAUGGAAUGGAGAGCUGGCUACUAAUGCAGAUAUUUUAUCAUGGGCUCGGCAACAGUGCCCGAGAGACCAUGGAUGCUGCAGCUGGAGGAGCAUUCCUAUCACUCACCAUAUCACAAGCCACAGCUCUUGCGGAGAAGAUGGCGUCCAAUCAAUGCUGGAAUGAAGAAAGGACCCAGACACGCAAGAGAGGUGGAGGUAUGCAUCAGCUCAAGGAGGUAGACAUGUUGUUUGCAAAGCUAUACCUGCUCAUGAAGAAGCUCGAUGAUAGAACUGGAGAUAAGAAAGAAGCUAUGCACAUCUACGACUCUCACAUGACUUGUGAGGAGUGUGGAGACACUGGACACUUAGGCAAUUACUGCCCUGAGAUGCUUGAGGAUGUGAACUACAUCAACAACAACAACUACUACUACUACAACCGUCCUCGACAAAAUCAAGGUUGGAAUCAACAGAGGUCUAACUACUCAGGUAAUUAUCAAGGUAAUAAUUCUUACAAUAAUACUAAUAAUUUUCCACCUUCGAGAGAGUUAGUGUCUAAUCAAGGAAAGCUAAUGGAUAACCUAUCUAAGAAAUUGGCAUCUAAUGAUAAAAUGCUAGAAAAUAUAAAUAAUAGAAUGGAUAAUUUCUCUACAGCCAUCAAGAAUCAAAUUAGCUUUAAUAAAAUGAUUGAAUCUCAGUUAAAUCAAAUAGCUGCUGCUGUUUCUACUACUAACCCCGGUAUACCAUCACAACCGGAAGGAUUAGAAUCUGUAAAUCUUGUAGACAUGUUUGAUGUAGGUAAUAACUGGAGUCACCCCAUCACCGAAUUCACUACUGACCUUCUGCCGGUCAAGAGAGGCGAUCCAGGAUGCCCCGUCAUCCCGAUCUCCAUCGGCAUGGUGGACGUCCCAGAAGCACUCUGUGACUUUGGCUCCAGCGUCAACAUUAUACCCAGGGUACUCUAUGAAAAAUUCUUUACACAUCCUUUAUUAGAAAUAACCAUGUGGUUGUAGUUUGCAAAUCAGGCGAUAAGUUUUCCAAAAGGAAUAUUGAAGAACCUUUGUGUCCGAGUUGGUACCUUAUAUGUCCCAGCAGACUUCGUGGUGAUAGAGACCGGUAAUGAUGAGAGACCACCCAUCAUCUUAGGGAGGCCAUUCUUAAACACCUCGGGAGCUGUCAUCUAUGCUAGUGCUGCCAAGAACAGUUUCUACAUCAAAGGGAGAAAGGAGACGUUUUCCUUCAAGAACAAGACUACACAAAUCCCAGAUCAAUCUAGACGUGAAUCAAGGAAGAGGACCAACAGGAGGAACAGGAACAAGCAAGUGUGGACCGAGUCAGCUAAGAUGGUCACUGCAGUUCAUGGAGGUCAAGAUCAUCAACUUAAGUCACCGUUUUUGACCAAGAAGGACGACCCAGGAAUGCCAAACAUCUAUUGCUCCAUAAAUGGAUACAACUUCUACAAGACGACUUGUGACACCGGAUCGGGCGUCAACAUAAUGGCUGCAGUCACCUAUCGGCUCUUGUUUGGAACCAUGCCCUUAAAACCAACAUACAUUCAACUCCAGAUGGCAGAUCAGAUAUUUCUAGAGGUUAAAGGAACAGUAACUGAUGUCCCUGGCAAAAUAGACGAUCAUUUUGUCUACACAGACUUUUAGGUUAUUGACAUGGGAGAAGACGAGUAAGAUCCACCCAUCAUCCUUGGAAGACCGUUCCUCAGCACCGUUAAAGCAAUUAUAUACAUUAGAACCGGAGAAGUCCAUAUGCACUUCCCUUAGAGAAGGUACGCCGUUAUUUUACUGACCCUAACUACAUCUUUGAAGAAUCUAAGAAGGUCAGAAAACGACGCAACCACAACCAGAGGAGGCAAAUCAUCAAGGACGGAUGGGCACACUAUGAAGGAGAAGUUGUAAGGUCAGGAGACGUACAGUUUAAACAGAAUUAUCCAGAGGAGACCGUAGCACCGAGUCAGGUGUGGAAAGAGAAGAUAACUAUACAUGAAGAUGAGGCGCCGCCGGAUGUACCGACUACGCCACCUAACGAAUCCCAGGACAAUUGAGAAAACGGAGAGUCCUGUUCGGAGGACUUAAAAACACCGAACGCCUUGCCAAGAGGUAAACUUGGUAGUUAUCCUUUCCCUUUCAAUUAUUUCAAACAAUUUGCUUAGUUAAUCAUGUUCAUACUAUCCCAAAAAGAAAAUAAAAAUGUUAAAAAAUAGUAAGCCCCAUGUGAGAAUACGAGUGACAUAAAACCCAUAAGUACAUUCACUGUGGUGGCAAAAAAAUAAAAUAAAAAGUAUUUUCUGCUCUAUAAAAUGAAAAUAUAAAAAAUAUGGAGUAAUAUUUAUUGAGGAGACUCAACAUGAUAAAGGCUAGAUAUUUAUGCUAACACUUAAUCAGUUCCACAAAGCUUUGUUGUCUAUUUGAGCUUCACAGAAUUUAAGAAUCGAGAAGACUAGCAGACGGAGGACAUUCUAAUCGCUGUCAGAAUGCUGCUGACUUUCAAAUACACUUCUGCCACCUGCUAGCUACAUCAAGGGAAAUUACGUCAAAAUCCAGCUUGGGAGAGAGCACCCCCAUUUAUCCCAAUAAGUAUUUCUAUCUAUCUUUAUACUUUUACUAUAUUAAAAUAUAAAUAUACAUAAUUAUGGAAAACCAAAUAAAGAUUUUAUGCUUAUAUAUAUAUAUAUCUUUUGCUUAGUUUAAUAAAUAAAUAAAGUGGCUAUGCUAAUCUGAAUCUUAAUAAUAAAACUCUAGCAUGGAUAUGAUGAAUAGUUGCUCUGCCUAAUUUUAAAAUUUUGAAGUCCUCUCUCAAGUUUAGACAUAACUGUUAUAAUUUAAAGCUUGCUCUAAACCUAAACUUGUGGGAAGAAAACUUGAUCUGAAGUCUAAGUUGUUAACGGAUAUGAUAUGGGAAGGUUGAGCUGCUGUUUAUCUGUUCCUAGAGAUGCUAGAAUUCUGGAGAAUUUUAUCUUUGAAAAAUAUUUAUAAUGUUGCAUGAUGAGUUCUGUAUGAUGAGAGUUUAAAUUCCUACCACAGCCAUAUAUACAUGCUUGCUAGACUUUGAGCCACACAUUUACAAUUUACUGCUUAUGAACAUUGAGUGUGGUCAAGCUGUGUAGACCCUUAGGAGCUUAUCAUGUGGUUAAAUCAAGAUUCACUUGCACGUUCACUCACAUAUGCUGCUUCUACUCUAGAAGUACCAUCCACAUAUAUCCAUCCAUUUCCAUCUCGAGAACCACCCAAAAAUAUUCUACUCCUAAUCCGGGAGAGAAUAGCCAAAAAUAUUUCUGUUUUUCCAUGUGAAAUAAAUGCUCAAGUUGUCUUGUUACUACCACUUGCUAUAUUAUCUCAAGAGAUGAGUGCUCUAAAAAAAGAGAAGAAAAAAGAGAUAUGAGGAAAUAAAAAGGGGCAAGUGCCCGGAACCUCGAAAGAAAAGAAAAAGUGAGACGAGAGGUAAAAAUGGACAAGUGUCCGACAGUAGAAUUAGGGGUACAAGAUGCCCACCUGAGAGGAAAGAAAAAAAAGAAGAGCAUCUCAUUCUCCUCACAAAGUUUCAAAAAAGCAAGGAAGGUAUGUAUGCCCUCAAAGAGCAAAAGUAGAAUUAGACUUUCACCAUUGUUAUCACCAUCAUCACCAUACACCAUUCGUUCGCCACACAUGCACAUCUUGAUUUGACUUAUUGAUUUGUUUCUUUUGAUCCAUGGUUUGACUAUACAAUAAAUAAUGUAAGUAUGUAUACUUUAUCUCCCACCUAUGAGCUCCAGAUAUUAAAGCCUUAUUAGAGUAGGGUGAGAGAGAAGGCAAUGUUACUAUGCUUUAUACCACAAAUACCACAUACUAUAUAGUUUUGAGAGAAGGCAUAUACCAUCACUGCCUUGGUAAGGAUCCAGAAAUACCACAAAAGAGAGAUUUGAGAGAAUCAUACAAGGAAUCUCUGAGUUUUAUUUGAAAAUCUGCAAAAACUCCAGAGCUAUAGCUGAUCAAGAAUAAGAGACAUGGCACUUGACUAGACUGUUCUAUCUUUUAACUACUCAAGACAGAAGUGACGGUUACAAGUCCCAUGGUGAAAGGUAAAAUGAAUAAGUUUUAAGUCUUGACAGUUUACUCUAACUCAG
rnacentral:lncRNA from 1 species